GGGUCAAUGAUGAGAAUCUUAUAUUGUCUUGAAGAGAGGUAAUGACUUAAAAAUCAUGCUCAGUAGGAUUGUGCUGAGGCCC
rfam:Callithrix jacchus chromosome 6, whole genome shotgun sequence